rnacentral:ncRNA from 2 species
CGAGUCGGAUUCGGUUUGGGGCACUCCGCAGUGGGCGAAGUCGGUGCAAAUCCGACACUGUCGCGCAACGGUAAUGCCUGCGAGGCUCAGUCCGGUCGACUCCCUGAGGAGUGGCAGUUGU